rnacentral:snoRNA from 1 species
UCUGAUCAGUGAUGACCAUUUAACUCUAUGUGGACUGAUGGAUGAAGCUUGCGGAUAUGGGACUGAGAUCAGCC